AGUGAACGCUGGCGGUAGGCCUAACACAUGCAAGUCGAACGGCAGCACAGUAAGAGCUUGCUCUUACGGGUGGCGAGUGGCGGACGGGUGAGGAAUACAUCGGAAUCUGCUUUUUCGUGGGGGAUAACGUAGGGAAACUUACGCUAAUACCGCAUACGACCUACGGGUGAAAGCAGGGGAUCUUCGGACCUUGCGCGAUUGAAUGAGCCGAUGUCGGAUUAGCUAGUUGGCGGGGUAAAGGCCCACCAAGGCGACGAUCCGUAGCUGGUCUGAGAGGAUGAUCAGCCACACUGGAACUGAGACACGGUCCAGACUCCUACGGGAGGCAGCAGUGGGGAAUAUUGGACAAUGGGCGCAAGCCUGAUCCAGCCAUACCGCGUGGGUGAAGAAGGCCUUCGGGUUGUAAAGCCCUUUUGUUGGGAAAGAAAGGCAGCAGGUUAAUACCCCGCUGUUCUGACGGUACCCAAAGAAUAAGCACCGGCUAACUUCGUG
rnacentral:rRNA from 1 species